GAUGGACUUCCGGAGGAAGUACUGGGUGCGGGUACAGUUACAGCAUUUAAAAGGCAAUUGGGUCUGUGUCUCGUCGUUGCAUCAAGUCCGUGAGUGUCUCCGAAAAUGAACAUAACAUUUGGUGCCGUGACCAGGAUUGCAACAUGUACAGCAGUCUCAUGUGGAGUGCUGAAUAAGGGAUCGAUCGAGUGUCAGUGGAGUGAGACAGACAGGCUCGCAAGCUUCUGGCAACAAAUGGCCACAAAUCGAUCAAAGGUGAAAGUGACGGUGAACCAGACAGAACAGUCAGUGGCUGCAUAAAGCAGGAUGGCGUGGAUAUUGCAC